GUUUUUUUUUCCAUUUCAUAAGAUCAAUAAACGCACUGCUCAUAUACCGUACACGAAGUUCACACCAGAAAUACUGUUUUUCGGGCCGCCGUUCCGUUUCCUCGCUUCGUUAAACGGGUACCCACGGGACCGCAUCAGACAUUUUUAGAAAUUGCAGAAAUGCGCCUCGCAGUAGCGAUCGUCUUGCGUGUUACAACGGAAUACCUGUAGGGGAGGAGAGG